UGCCUUGCACACUGAGACCUUAUUCUAGAUUUUCAGUGAGCAGUAAUGUAGGUGUUGCUGAUGGUGGUGGGGCUUUGGUGGCCGAAGCCCCCAGAUAUCGAAAUGGAUCUUUACUGUUGAUGAAGAGAGCAGGGGGAUAUCGGUGAAUUUUUAAAAUAUUUUUAAUUUUGCAUCAGACAUGUGUUUCUCAAGCUAGGCACCUAGUAUAAAAAGAAAGAUCAGUAGUAUAGUGCUUCACCAGGCUAGUCAAAGAUCGGUGAUGGUGCCCCUUGGUGACUGUUGGCAGAGUGUGUUGGGAAACAGAACUUUUCUGCACUUUCUUAUAUUAGCUGGUCCAUGCCGUUGUUCUAUUGCAAUCCCCGUCUUACAUGUUUCCAGCUUGCACCGCUGCAAUCUAUAAUGAAUGCGGUGGGGAGGCUCAUUUUCCUGUCGGCCCACACCUCCCAUGCCUCCCCUCUCUGUUAGUCCAUUAGUACAUUAAGAUAUAGGGCUUAAUUUAAGAUUCUGGUGCUUGCUUACAAGUCCCUACAUAAUGCUGCUCCAAACUACCUAUCCUCCCUAAUACACAAGUAUGUCCCAUUCUGCUGAAGACCUACGUCUAUUCUCUGUUGAUACUCC